UACGUAGGGUGCGAGCGUUGUCCGGAAUUAUUGGGCGUAAAGAGCUCGUAGGCGGUUUGUUGCGUCGGCCGUGAAAACCUGCAGCUUAACUGUGGGCCUGCGGCCGAUACGGGCAGACUUGAGUUCGGUAGGGGAGACUGGAAUUCCUGGUGUAGCGGUGAAAUGCGCAGAGAUCAUGAGGAAGACCAGUGGCGAAGGCGAGUUUCUGGACAGUUACUGACGCUGAGGCACGAAGGCCAGGGGAGCAAACGGG
rnacentral:rRNA from 1 species